rnacentral:rRNA from 1 species
GGACGAACGCUGGCGGCGUGCUUAACACAUGCAAGUCGAGCGGUAAGGCCCUUUCGGGGGUACACGAGCGGCGAACGGGUGAGUAACACGUGGGUGACCUGCCCUCAGCUCUGGGAUAAGCCUGGGAAACCGGGUCUAAUACCGGAUAUGACUCCAUGACGCAUGUUGUGGGGUGGAAAGCCUUGUGCGGCUGAGGAUGGGCCCGCGGCCUAUCAGCUUGUUGGUGGGGUGANGGCCUACCAAGGCGACGACGGGUAGCCGGCCUGAGAGGGCGACCGGCCACACUGGGACUGAGACACGGCCCAGACUCCUACGGGAGGCAGCAGUGGGGAAUCUUGCGCAAUGGGCGAAAGCCUGACGCAGCGACGCCGCGUGAGGGAUGACGGCCUGGUGUAACU